rnacentral:rRNA from 1 species
UAAUCGCGGAUCAGAAUGCCGCGGUGAAUACGUUCCCGGGCCUUGUACACACCGCCCGUCACACCAUGGGAGUUUGUUGCACCAGAAGUAGCUAGCCUAACUGCAAAGAGGGCGGUUACCACGGUGUGGCCGAUGACUGGGGUGAAGUCGUAACAAGGUAGCCGUAGGGGAACCUGCGGCUGGAUCACCUCCUUA